UCAUAACAGAUGAUGAUAAACCUGGCAAUUCCACGCGCACUCACUGGAAAUCCUCUGAGAAUUCAACCCAUCCUUUCUCGAUUCUCUGGAGUCAUGGCGUCGAUGGAUGACGAUGCGUACCUGAGGCGAAUGGCUGCGUUACUCCAAGCAAUUUCUCUAGCGAGGGUCGCCAAACAGGACAGCGUUAUUUGCCAAAUCGAAGACGGUUUGUAUCUGGGAUCAGUUGGAGCUGCACAGGAUAAGGAGGCGUUGAAGAAGUUGAAUAUAACUCAUGUAUUGACUGUGGCCAAAUCGCUUCUGCCUGCUUAUCCGAACGAGUUUGUGUAUAAGAGGAUCGAUGUGCUUGACAACUCAACAACAAAUUUGGCUCAAUAUUUUGAUGAGUGUUUUGAAUUCAUCGAUGAAGCUAGAAGGUCGGGUGGUGGUGUACUAGUUCAUUGUUUUGCGGGAAUAUCUAGAAGUGCCACAGUUGUUGUUGCUUAUUUGAUGAAGGAGUAUAGAAUGCCUCUAUCUCAAGCUUUGGAACUUGUUAGGAGUAAACGGCCACAAAUAUGCCCUAAUUUUGGUUUCAGAAAACAGUUGGAGGACUUUGAGAAAUCUCUGGAAGUGAUUCAAAAUCCAAAGGCAAUUGAGUCUAUGAAUUAGUGAUUCCAGGUUAAAGAGGACCAAGAUGUGAGCCCCAAGUUAAAUGCUACCCAGAUUUUAACAACACAUGUUAUUCUCAUGAAUGCUGCCUGGCACAUCUCUUAAUUGACUCCAUUUUUUGGUCUAACCAAUAGUACCAAAAAUGUACCGUUAUGUGAUUACUUCCAUAUGAGAUGCUUCUAGAACCCUUCAAAAACAUGGAAGGUGCAACCCUAACCUCAUGACAUCUUCUUGGCAUUCUCCGGGGACGGGCUGCCAUCAUCCAGAGUAAUAUCUUCUCUUUACCAACUGUCUUCGAUGUAAUUUGUUUGUCUGCAAACUUUUCUCUUUGAUUCUCUGUCAAUAAACUGAAAAUUGCAUUACAUAAUAUUGCCAAAGUUUUUAUUAUAUAAGAAUUA